rnacentral:misc_RNA from 1 species
GUGCAUCGAACUGCUGACUCCCCAUCCGCUUCAGUCUUUCCCCAAGGUAAGCUUCUUCCUUGCGGGUGCGUAUGGUAUCCUGUGUUGCUUACCCGUGAAAGGGAAAUCGAUGGCUUCGUUGCGUUGAUCCGUCUUGUGCCCUUUGGGUUGCGGGGCGGACGUGAGGCAGGCUCUGUGUUCCUGGCAUGCCUAGCAAGUUGUUGCUUGGCUGCUGUGGCCCAUGGGGUCUUUGCUUGUUUUCUCGGAUGCGGAAUGCUACGCAUGGGCGUGAGGUCUCGGCCUCGAUUCGUCCAAGCAUUGUCCCUUUACUCGAAUGACUGUUGCAUCCGUUUUGAUCUUCCCGACCAAGGCCUCGUAAUGGGGCUUACUGGAUGAGGGUUGGUCAUGCGGGUGAUGACGUCAAAGAGGAAUGC